AUUGAACGCUGGCGGCAGGCUUAACACAUGCAAGUCGAGCGGGGUGAUGGUGCUUGCACUAUCACUUAGCGGCGGACGGGUGAGUAAUGCUUAGGAAUCUGCCUAUUAGUGGGGGACAACAUCUCGAAAGGGAUGCUAAUACCGCAUACGUCCUACGGGAGAAAGCAGGGGAUCACUUGUGACCUUGCGCUAAUAGAUGAGCCUAAGUCGGAUUAGGUAGUUGGUGGGGUAAAGGCCUACCAAGGCGACGAUCUGUAGCGGGUCUGAGAGGAUGGGCCGCCACACUGGGACUGAGACACGGCCCAGACUCGUACGGGAGGCAGCAGUGGGGAAUAUUGGACAAUGGGGGGAACCCUGUUCCAGCCAGACCGCGUGUGUGAAGAAGGCCUUAUGGUCGUAAAGGACUUUUGUCAGGGAGGAAAUCCCUAGUGCUAAUAACACUGGGGGAUGACAGUACCUGAAGAAUAAGCACCGGCUAACUACGUGCCAGCCGCCGCCGUAA
rnacentral:rRNA from 1 species